GUGGUGUGAGCCCAUAGGGAGGAGGUCAGAGACCUGGCAGCGUGGUGUGAGCCUAUAGGGAGGAGGUCAGAGACCUGGCAGCGUGGUGUGAGCCUAUAGGGAGGAGGUCAGAGACCUGGCAGUGUGGUGUGAGCCCAUAGGGAGGAGGUCAGAGACCUGGCAGUGUGGUGUGAGCCUAUAGGGAGGAGGUCAGAGACCUGGCAGUGUGGUGUGAGCCCAUAGGGAGGAGGUCAGAGACCUGGCAGUGUGGUGUGAGCCCAUA